AUUGAACGCUGGCGGCAGGCCUAACACAUGCAAGUCGAACGAGUGGCGGACGUGUGAGUAAUGUAUGGGACACUGCCUGAUGGAGGGGGAUAACUACUGGAAACGGUAGCUAAUACCGCAUACCAUCAGCUGUGCCCAAAUGGGUUUAGCUUGUUGGUGGGGUACAGGCUCACCAAGGCGACGAUCCCGAGCUGGUCUGAGAGGAUGACCAGCCACACUGGGACUGAGACACGGCCCAGACUCCUACGGGAGGCAGCAGUGGGGAAUAUUGGACAAUGGGCGAAAGCCUGAUGCAGCCAUGCCGCGUGUAUGAAGAAGGCCUUCGGGUUGUAAAGCACUUUCGGCAGGGAGGCGGUACCCGCAGAAGAAGCACCGGCUAACUACGUGCCAGCAGCCGCGGUAAUUC
rnacentral:rRNA from 1 species